rnacentral:rRNA from 1 species
GACUGCUAUUUGGGUGAGGAUAAGCCAUGCGAGUUGUAUGGGAUCCCUAAAGUUCCCAUAGCAAACUGCUCAGUAACACAUGAUCAACUUGCCCUAUGGAGAGCACUAACCUCGGGAAACUGAGGAUAAUGGCUCAUACUUGAUUAGGCUUGGAAAAGUUUUUCAAUGAAAUGCGUAAGAAAAAUGGUUCUUAUGCGCCAUAGGAUAGGAUCGUGCUCGAUUAUGGUAGUUGGUGAGGUAACGGCUCACCAAGCCGAUAAUCGAUAGGGGCCGUGAGAGUGGUUGCCCCGAGAUGGGUACUGAGACAGCGACCCAGGCCUUACGAGGCGCAGCAGGCGCGAGACCUCCGCAAUACACGCAAGUGUGACGGGGUUACCCAAAGUGUCCUUAUUGGACUGUGGCGGGUGAGUAAUGUUCCCCGCUAGAAAGGAGAGGGCAAGGCUGGUGCCAGCCGCCGCGGUAAAACCAGCUCUUCAAGUGGUCGGGAUAAUUAUUGGGCUUAAAGUGUCCGUAGCCGGUUUAGUAAGUUCCUGGUAAAACCGGGCAGCUUAACUGUCCGUAUGCUAGGAAUACUGCUAUGCUAGAGGGCGGGAGAGGUCUGAGGUACUACAGGGGUAGGGGUGAAAUCUUAUAAUCCUUGUAGGACCACCAGUGGCGAAAGCGUCAGACUGGAACGCGCCUGACGGUGAGGGACGAAAGCCAGGGGAGCGAACCGGAUUAGAUACCCGGGUAGUCCUGGCCGUAAACGAUGCAUACUAGGCAAUGGUGCGGCCAUGAGCCGCAUCAGUACCGUAGGGAAACCGUUAAGUGUGCCGCCUGAGAAGUACGGUCGCAAGGCUAAAACUUAAAGGAAUUGGCGGGGGAGCACCACAAGGGGUGAAGCCUGCGGUUCAAUUGGAUUC